GGAUGUUUGCUAUCCCUCCCAGAUUUCUGUUCCCAUCUGCAGAUCUUUCUGUUACAAUGAUGGACCUGGCAAUUUCUGGGAAAUACAACUACUAAUUUUAUCUUGUCUUGGCCUUGAGUGAAAUCCUAUACUUGAAAAAUGUCCAGGAUUUCUGUGCUACUCAGCUCUCUGGAGUCCAUCAGCAGCACCUUCACUGACUGAGCUUGGAACCAACAGUUUUAUGGAACAACUAUUUGGAUGUGUUUUCAAGCAAGGUGAGAAGAUGAUCCAGGCUAUAUUAGCUAUUCUA